rnacentral:tRNA from 1 species
GUCGGGGUGGCGGAACAGGCAGACGCGCACGGUUGAGGGCCGUGUGGAUAACACCAUGUGGGUUCAAGUCCCAUCCCCGACACCA